rnacentral:rRNA from 1 species
AUCCUUUGACCACUCUAGAGAUAGAGCUUCCCCUUCGGGGGCAAAGUGACAGGUGGUGCAUGGUUGUCGUCAGCUCGUGUCGUGAGAUGUUGGGUUAAGUCCCGCAACGAGCGCAACCCUUAUUGUUAGUUGCCAUCAUUCAGUUGGGCACUCUAGCAAGACUGCCGGUGACAAACCGGAGGAAGGUGGGGAUGACGUCAAAUCAUCAUGCCCCUUAUGACCUGGGCUACACACGUGCUACAAUGGGAAGUACAACGAGUUGCGAAGUCGCGAGGCUAAGCUAAUCUCUUAAAGCUUCUCUCAGUUCGGAUUGCAGGCUGCAACUCGCCUGCAUGAAGCCGGAAUCGCUAGUAAUCGCGGAUCAGC